GACGAACGCUGGCGGCGUGCUUAACACAUGCAAGUCGAGCGGAAAGGCCCUGCUUUUGUGGGGUGCUCGAGUGGCGAACGGGUGAGUAACACGUGAGUAACCUGCCCUUGACUUUGGGAUAACUUCAGGAAACUGGGGCUAAUACCGGAUAGGAGCUCCUGCUGCAUGGUGGGGGUUGGAAAGUUUCGGCGGUUGGGGAUGGACUCGCGGCUUAUCAGCUUGUUGGUGGGGUAGUGGCUUACCAAGGCUUUGACGGGUAGCCGGCCUGAGAGGGUGACCGGCCACAUUGGGACUGAGAUACGGCCCAGACUCCUACGGGAGGCAGCAGUGGGGAAUAUUGCACAAUGGGCGGAAGCCUGAUGCAGCAACGCCGCGUGCGGGAUGACGGCCUUCGGGUUGUAAACCGCUUUCGCCUGUGACGAAGCGUGAGUGACGGUAAUGAGUAAAGAAGCACCGGCUAACUACGUG
rnacentral:rRNA from 1 species